rnacentral:rRNA from 1 species
UGGUGGAGUGAUUUGUCUGGUUAAUUCCGUUAACGAACGAGACCUCGACCUGCUAAUUAGUUUCGCUCAUACUUCGGUGUGCUGUCGGGACUUCUUAGAGGGACUAUCGGUGUGUAGCCGAUGGAAGUUCGAGGCAAUAACA